rnacentral:rRNA from 1 species
GUGCAAGCCGCCGCGGUAAGACGAACCGUGCGAACGUUGUUCGGAAUCACUGGGCUUAAAGGGCGCGUAGGCGGCCGGGUUGGUCGUGGGUGAAAUCCCCCAGCUUAACUGGGGAAUUGCCUACGAUACUGCCUGGCUCGAGGGAGGAAGGGGCGGCCGGAACUGUCGGUGGAGCGGUGAAAUGCGUUGAGAUCGACAGGAACGCCGGUGGCGAAAGCGGGCCGCUGGCCCUCUUCUGACGCUGAGGCGCGAAAGCCAGGGGAGCGAACGGGAUUAGAUACCCUCGUAGUCC